CAUGUGUCACGUGACCAGAACCGGAUUCUUCAUUUCCUGGGUCUUGUUUGCGUUUAUUUUCUAAGUCGUCAUAACAGUCAGGAAUCAGACAUCUCGGUUUCUCGAUCUACAUUACAUUUCUAUUUCUGUAUGGUUGAGGAGUGAGAACGGCAAAAUGGGCAAUAUACAGGGAAAUGUGCCAGACUCUAAAGUCAAGGCAGAGAAGGAAGCAUUGAGCUUUGGCUGCACAGGAAAUUGUCUGAAGAAGGAUCAACUUGGUCCAGUCCAGGGCAUCAUCUUCACAAAUAAAAAGCUGCAGGCUAUAAUUACAGCUCAAGAGCUCGACUGUCACCAGUUUAGCAUUCAGAGGUUAGAAGACUUCUGAUGGAAGUGGACAUGAAUCAUACCUGUUUCUCUGCGUGUGUGUGUAUAUGUGUAUGUGAGACAGUGUGUGUGUUUGUGUGUGUGUGUGUGAGAGAGAGAGAGAGAGAGAGAGACCAGCAGAUUAGUCAUAAAAUCAGAAAAGUCUGAUGUUUUCUCUUUUUCACCUUUUCUACAUGUCUAAGUGUUUAAAAGAAAGCAUUACUUUAUUUUUGUAUUAUUAUUGUGGGAAAUUUACUUGUCCUAAGUCCAGAUAAAGGGGGAAGGUUGCUUCAGGAAGAAACUUCGGCAUAAAACCUGCACCAAAUGAAAUUAUACAGAUCCACUGUGGGACAAUGUUUUCUAGUUAGACAGUAUUUCUAAAAAUCCAUAGAUAAAUUAUUUUAGCAUCUUACAUGGUCAGAGGAAAUACAUGCUUUGUAUUAUUUUUAGUUUCUCUAUGAUGAAUCAGACUAUUUUCACAGCAAUAAAGCUCUACUUUAUAUUCUAUAGUGAAGUGAACUAUUUAUUAGAAUCCAAUUCAUGCACCUUACAAAACAGCACGAUUCAUAACCUUGUAGUUUCUGAAGCAGUGUGGCUUUUAAUAAUAAUUGAUCAUUUGUUUUGGAUCGAUUACGAUAAACGAACCAAAUAUUGUCAUUAUGAGAUGCAAAAAGGCUUCAUUGAAAAAAUUCCUUUUUAAAAACCUUGACCUUGAAUGUGUCAAUACUGUAUAAUAUGCUUGUAUUAUUAUUAUUAUUAUUAUUAUUAUUAUUAUUACUCUUUAAGCCAAAUUUUAUCAGCUGUUUAAUCAGCUGAUCUUGACAUUCAGCAGACUCAGCCUUGUUUUCUUCCACUCACUCUUCCCUCUAGACUGGUCAAUUAGUACAAGGAAUAUUCCUUUGUUUUGUUUUUUUAUUGAUGAAAUGUUUAUAUGUUAAAAGUUCUAAAUCAUAAAUCUUGAAUUUUCAAAAUUAUAGUGUAAUUCAGGCUAAGUUUUAAUAUGUAUUAUUUAGUCUUUGUUUUGUCUAAAAAGUUAAAUAGAAAUUAAAUUGAAUCGAAUUUAAUCGAAUAUUUACACAAAAACAAUUUUUUAUUUUUUUUAAAAAAAUACAGUAGGUUCAUAUUUCAUCUUAAGUGAUUCGUUGAUUUUUCCAUCUGUACUGACUUCUGAGAAAACACACAAUUGUGAACUGAAGACUACAAGCAGAAAAUAAACAGGUUUUUCUGGUA